GAAAAAUCAAUGAGCAAGAAGAGUACCAUAGAAAUGGUCUUUACAGAGAGUCGGCAUUUGGUGGAAGUCGAUAAGAAAGUUUUAUGGGAAUGGGUUUGUGAGAUGCAAAGCGAACUAAUAGUAGCGGAUGCCGUGUCCUCACGUUACAGAGGUAAGAUAUCAUGUGUAUCGGAUUGAGAUUAUAGAAUUGGUGGCGAGAUAUUUCUGAUUUGGAAUAUCUCUUUUUUAUUUUUAGAAGCUACGAUUCUAUAAUGAAGCAGGGUGGCACCACGACCAAAUAUCGUCCCUGGU
rnacentral:ncRNA from 1 species